UGGCCAAUCAAAAGUAUCACACAGGCCUGUGGCAUAUAACACUAUGUGGUUACUGUCCAGUGCUCUGAAUGUCAAAGUGAAGAAAUUCAAUGAAGCAUGGGUAAAUGGCCACAGUGAGUAUGACUCUCUUAAUGUAGUCAAAUGCCUCAUCAUCUAACUAGUGACAUGGAAAAUAUAUGAACAAGAUUCUUACUGUCCAUACCUAUGAUCCAGCAAAUCCAGAGCCAAGGGAAUGAAUGGGCUUGGUUAAAUCAUCAGUGAAAAAAGACCCUGUUGCGCUUGAAUCUAGUCUGGAAUGCUGAAGAGACCUGAGAAGUAUAGAAUAACUGGGAGGCCCCUGGUACCUCUCUGUUCCCUGUGAGUUUCUGGGGCAGUGUCUGCCAGCCUUGCAGGGCACUGGUGUAUUACCACUACCCUCUCCAUGAUUUCACUGACUCAGUGAGCGGGAGGUCAAGCCCCCAAGGUUCUCUUGCUUCUAGUGCCAAGCGUUCUUCUGCUACUGCAGGUAGGUGACCCAUUCUGGGGACAGUGCCAGGUGGUGAGUUUGAAUGGGGUGGUAAACCUGUCAAAGUGUAAGGCUGGUACCGUAAUGCAAGCUCAAGAAGGUCAGAAAUCCAGAGCAGAGUGCUUAAAGCUUGAUUGGUCUUGAUUUUCAUCACACAUACAAACUGUGAAAGCAGGGCCUCAUGAUCGUUCUGACCUUUUAGGUUUUGAGCAGGAUGGGUUAGAAAAGUUACCACAGUAGUAUAGGAGUCGCAGGUUCAGACAUUUGGUGUAUGUGCUUAGCUGAGGUGCCAAUGGGGUGAAGCUACCAUCUUGGCGACUAUGACUGAACGCCUCUUAACUCAGAUUUCCACCCAGGCAGAAAGCUUAGCCAGUGCCAAAGUAGCCUCAGUUGGCCCCAGAGAGCCAAGCUGUGUCCUCCCUGUUCCUGCCGUUCCUGCUGGCAGUCUCUUUGCACUCCCAUGUGUCAAGCAGGUUCCCCACCCUGUGUAUGGAUUGGGGUCCAAUGCAGAGAGACAUUGUUCCUGAGAAACCUGGUGCUGCCAGAAUGGGAGCCACCUUCCUGCUUGUCACACUAAAGUGUGUUCGUGUGGAACCUGGUACUAAGCUAUUCACAACCAUCCUGCUUCUGUGUUGGGGUUUUAUAUAUAGCAGAGCAUCUCCCUCCUUGUGAUCUAUUGAAAUUCAGCCUGCUACACAAGGAUUU
rnacentral:ncRNA from 1 species